rnacentral:rRNA from 1 species
GACGAACGCUGGCGGCGUGCCUAAUACAUGCAAGUCGAGCGGACGAAUCGAAAGCUUGCUUUUGAUUCGUUAGCGGCGGACGGGUGAGUAACACGUGGGCAACCUGCCCUGUAGAGGGGGAUAACACCGAGAAAUCGGUGCUAAUACCGGAUCACACGAAAUGUCGCAUGACGUUUCGUAGAAAGACGGCGCGAGCUGUCGCUACAGGAUGGGACCGCGGCGCAUCAGCUAGUUGGGGAGGUAACGGCUCACCAAGGCGACGAUGCGUAGCCGAGCUGAGAGGGUGAUCGGCCACACUGGGACUGAGACACGGCCCAGACUCCUACGGGAGGCAGCAGUAGGGAAUCUUCCGCAAUGGACGAAAGUCUGACGGAGCAACGCCGCGUGAGCGAAGAAGGCCUUCGGGUCGUAAAGCUCUGUUGUUAGGGAAGAACAAGUAACGCAGUAACUGGCGUUACCGUGACGGUACCUAACGAGAAAGCCACGGCUAACUACGUGCCAGCCGCCGCAGUAA